CAACGCCGCGUGGAGGAUGAAAUACCCUUCGGGAGUGUAAACUCCUUUCCGAUCGGGACGAUUAUGACGGUACCGGAAGAAGAAGCCCCGGCCUAACUUCGUGC
rnacentral:rRNA from 1 species